GCUAAUACAACAUCUGGUCAACAUCUGACAGAAUACGAGUUAUGCAUGAAGGAAUCUCCAGACAGCAGCCAAAAUGCAGCAACUUCAGGCACGGCAGAGAAAGAACAGUCACAGC